UGUUGUUUUUUGUCGCACUGCUUUGCUUUAUCUUGGCCAGGUCACCGUUGUAAAUGAUAACUUGUUCUCAGCUGGCCUACUUGGUUAAAUAAAGGUGAAAUUUAAAAAAAUAAAAAGGUCAGUGUGGGUUAACCGCUUUCCCCUGUUUUACAACCCUGGGCCCAAUGUUACUGUUGAUGAGCAGCUUAUGCCAUUUAGGAGCCGCUGCCCCUUCAGGCAGUACAUACAGUCUAAACCCGAAAAAUAUGGAAUCAAGAUCUGUGAUGCGGCUUCAUCAUAUGCGUGAAACUUGCAAAUGUACAUGGGGAAGCCAGAUGGAGGCGCCCCUGAAAAGAACCAUGGGAUGCGGGUUGUCCUGGACGUGGCCACAACAUCACCUGCAAUAACUUUUUUACUUCGAACAAGCUGGGACAGGAGCUCCUCAAGAGGAAGUUGACGAUGGUAGGAACAGUAUGGAAAAAACAAGCCAGAGCUCCCACCUCAGCUGUUGAAUACACAGAACAGGUCUAUUAAUUCAUCUAAGUUGGGCAAGGCAUUGGUAAGGCCUCAAAUCCAGAGGAGGCAACAUAUCCCAUGGACCCCAAACAUUGUGAGGAGGAUUCAGGAGGAAGAUGCUGCUACACCAUCCGCCCGACCCACAAAUCCAACAACUCCAAUAUUGGAAAAUGCAGCCGGUAGCAACAAGAAGAACCGCAGCGAUGUGUGGAGACCCAAGAAGGACAGGAAGACACAGAGCACAUACAUCAAAGUGCAAGAAAUAUAUUUGCAACACACACAGUAAAACUUUCUCCCUCAUGUGGUGUGUAGACCAGCCUUAAUUUGUGUUUCAUGGGGCUCAUUUACUGUAUAAUUUCUAUAAAAUACUGUAUGUAAAAUGUCUUUCCAAUUUGUUCAGUUCAAAGCAUUAAACAUCAAUAGUGAUGAAAACCUUG